rnacentral:rRNA from 1 species
AUUGAACGCUGGCGGCAGGCCUAACACAUGCAAGUCGAGCGGAUGACGGGAGCUUGCUCCUUGAUUCAGCGGCGGACGGGUGAGUAAUGUCUAGGAAUCUGCCUGGUAGUAGGGGACAACGUUUCGAAAGGAACGCUAAUACCGCAUACGUCCUACGGGAGAAAGCAGGGGACCUUCGGGCCUUGCGCUAUCAGAUGAGCCUAGGUCGGAUUAGCUAGUUGGUGGGGUAAUGGCUCACCAAGGCGACGAUCCGUAACUGGUCUGAGAGGAUGAUCAGUCACACUGGAACUGAGACACGGUCCAGACUCCGUCGGGGGGCAGCAGUGGGGAAUAUUGGACAAUGGGCGAAAGCCUAAUCCAGCCAUGCCGCGUGUGUGAAGAAGGUCUUCGGAUUGUAAAGCACUUUAAGUUGGGAGGAAGGGCAGUAAGCUAAUACCUUGCUGUUUUGACGUUACCGACAGAAUAAGCACCGGCUAACUCUGUGCCAGCCGCCGCCGUAA